rnacentral:lncRNA from 1 species
CUAUUUUACUUUUCCCCGAACAGAGCAGUUGUUCCUAACAGUAAUAACUAUAAAGACGAAUGGUAACAAUAACAACAAUAGUAUUUUCAAGAAAACAGAAGAUGUGCAUCCAACAAUCCCGAAUGGUAAAAGCAAACCAUGACUCUUAAGUGUGCCUCUGUAACAAUAGAAAAUGAGAUUUCGGAGGAAACAUGGUAGCCUAAAUAGUACCUCCUUACGCCUAGCCUCAAUCAGAGCUGCUUCAUUUUCUUUCUCAGGUUACGAAAACAGAGCUGCUAAACAAUACAUACCAAAAAUUAAAUCUUAAAACCAUUUGAAAACUUCAAAGCAGAAUCUACCAACAGAAAUUAGAUUUCAAAACACUAAAUUAAUUACCUAAUUUGGGGUGAGAGUGAGACUCGGACUCGGUGUUGUGGUGAGAGAGAUCGCGAGAGAAAGUCGCCCGAGAGAGAGAUUGUGAGAGAGAGCGGUGGCUGUGUGGUGUGGUGGUGGGCCGGUGGUUGGCCGGAAUUCGACAUUGACAAAUGAGGGCUCGGUGAGGGAGGAGGCGCAUGGGCUUGGAGUUUGAUGGAUGGAAUCAGG